CGGGGUGUGGCGCAGCUUGGUAGCGCGCGUCGUUCGGGACGACGAGGUCGCAGGUUCAAAUCCAGUCACCCCGA
rnacentral:tRNA from 1 species